rnacentral:rRNA from 1 species
CUAGCUGGUCUGAGAGGAUGACCAGCCACACUGGAACUGAGACACGGUCCAGACUCCUACGGGAGGCAGCAGUGGGGAAUAUUGCACAAUGGGCGCAAGCCUGAUGCAGCCAUGCCGCGUGUAUGAAGAAGGCCUUCGGGUUGUAAAGUACUUUCAGCGGGGAGGAAGGGAGUAAAGUUAAUACCUUUGCUCAUUGACGUUACCCGCAGAAGAAGCACCGGCUAACUCCGUGCCAGCAGCCGCGGUAAUACGGAGGGUGCAAGCGUUAAUCGGAAUUACUGGGCGUAAAGCGCACGCAGGCGGUUUGUUAAGUCAGAUGUGAAAUCCCCGGGCUCAACCUGGGAACUGCAUCUGAUACUGGCAAGCUUGAGUCUCGUAGAGGGGGGUAGAAUUCCAGGUGUAGCGGUGAAAUGCGUAGA